rnacentral:rRNA from 1 species
UACGGGGGGGGUAAGCGUUGUUCGGAAUUACUGGGCGUAAAGGGCUCGUAGGCGGCCAACUAAGUCAUACGUGAAAUCCCUCAGCUUAACUGGGGAACUGCGUGUGAUACUGGAUGGCUUGGAUUUGGGAGAGGGAUGCGGAAUUCCAGGUGUAGCGGUGAAAUGCGUAGAUAUCUGGAGGAACACCGGUGGCGGAGGCGGCAUCCUGGACCGACAUUGACGCUGAGGCGCGAAAGCCAGGGGAGCAAACGGG